GAUGAACGCUGGCGGCGUGCCUAAUACAUGCGAGUCGAGCGAACAGACGAGGAGCUUGCUCCUCUGACGUUAGCGGCGGACGGGUGAGUAACACGUGGAUAACCUACCUAUAGGACUGGGAUAACUUCGGGAAACCGGAGCUAAUACCGGAUAAUAUAUUGAACCGCAUGGUUCAAUAGUGAAAGACGGUUUUGCUGUCACUUAUAGAUGGAUCCGCGCCGCAUUAGCUAGUUGGUAAGGUAACGGCUUACCAAGGCAACGAUGCGUAGCCGACCUGAGAGGGUGAUCGGCCACACUGGAACUGAGACACGGUCCAGACUCCUACGGGAGGCAGCAGUAGGGAAUCUUCCGCAAUGGGCGAAAGCCUGACGGAGCAACGCCGCGUGAGUGAUGAAGGUCUUCGGAUCGUAAAACUCUGUUAUUAGGGAAGAACAAAUGUGUAAGUAACUAUGCACGUCUUGACGGUACCUAAUCAGAAAGCCACGGCUAACUACGUG
rnacentral:rRNA from 1 species